UGAGUUGUUGAUAAGUGUGGUGUUCCGUGUUGUCAAGAGUCUUAUCGUUAGCGGUUAGGAUCAGGGUUAUAGGAGGUCCAACUCUACCCACUGGACAUUUGGUCCCACGGGUUGAGAGGCACUGUGUUAUAUUGUGUUACUAACAAGAAAUUUCACACACUGAAGGCCUGUAUCACCAUUAUCACCACAUGUCGUGUGACAUUUCAGGUCUUGCUGUGAAAAAGAGGACCCCUACUCUCCACUACAGUGCGCACUUAUCAGAGCCCAGCUGUUCUGUCAACUGUGUACUUCCCUUCUGGAUAAUUAGGAACAGCGGGGGGAAACAGCAGGACAUGGGGGUGGAGCAUUCGUGAUUACAGAGUACAUCCGGGUGACUAGGGACAGGAAAUUGUUCAACCCUGACUUCCUGUUUCACAGGCGUACAAAUAUGAGGGCAAUAAUUAAGAAGCUCCCGUCAACUGGAAAUGUUAUGAAUCAAUCUGGAAUUGGACAUGUGCCUAUAUCGUCUCAAUGCACUGUGAAGAGGACGGUUUGAAUGGACAAAAAAAUCUUCAAGGAUCACAGCUGGAGAACUGCAGAAGUUAGUUGUGUCUUGGGGUCAGAAAGUCUCCAAAACUACAAUCUGAAGUCACCGACAUCUCCACAAGCUGUUUGGAAGGGUUUCAAGAUAAAAGCCUCUACUCUCAUCCAAAAACAAACUCGAGAGUCUUCAGUUUGCCGACACUACUGGAACUUCAAAUGGGAUCGGGUUCUACGGUCAGAUGAAACCAGAAUAGAGCUUUUUGGUAAUAAACACAGAGGUGGUUUUGACGCACAUUACAGGAACCUUUAUAAAUGGAUUAAAG
ensembl:lncRNA